GACGAACGCUGGCGGCGUGCCUAAUACAUGCAAGUUGAGCGAUGAAGAUUGGUGCUUGCCCCAAUUUGAAGAGCAGCGAACGGGUGAGUAACGCGUGGGGAAUCUGCCUUUGAGCGGGGGACAACAUUUGGAAACGAAUGCUAAUACCGCAUAACAACUUUAAACAUAAGUUUUAAGUUUGAAAGAUGCAAUUGCAUCACUCAAAGAUGAUCCCGCGUUGUAUUAGCUAGUUGGUGAGGUAAAGGCUCACCAAGGCGAUGAUACAUAGCCGACCUGAGAGGGUGAUCGGCCACAUUGGGACUGAGACACAGCCCAAACUCCUACGGGAGGCAGCAGUAGGGAAGCUUCGGCAAUGGACGAAAGUCUGACCGAGCAACGCCGCGUGAGUGAAGAAGGGUUUCGGAUCGUAAAACUCUGUUGGUAGAGAAGAACGUUGGUGAGAGUGGAAAGCUCAUCAAGUGACGGUAACUACCCAGAAAGGGACGGCUAACUACGUG
rnacentral:rRNA from 1 species